rnacentral:rRNA from 1 species
GUAGCAAAAUAAUUUGUUUUUUAAUUGAGAACUGGAAUGAAAGGCUUAACAAAUAUAUAAUUUUUUCUUUUAAAUAAUUAAAAUUUUUAAUUUGUGUAAAAGUACACAAAUAAUCUUAAGGGACGACAAGACCCUAAAAGCUUUAUUAUUAAAAUUUUUAUUAUUAUUAAAAUUUAAAUUAUUAAAGAAUAAUUUGACUGGGGCGGUUGUUUUUAUAACAAAAAUUUUUUCUUACAAAUAGGAUUAAAGAUCCUUUAAAUUAGGAUAGAUUGUUUAAGUUACUUUAGGGGUAACAGCGUAAUAAUAAUAGGGAGACCGUAUUUAUAUUAUUGAUUGCGACCUCGAUGUUGGAUUAAAUUCUCUAUAUAAAGCAAAAAUUAUAUGUGAAAGUUUGUUCAACUUUUUAAAAUUU